UCAUUUUUAUUAAACCCCAUUAGUACCGCAAUUCUCUUAGCACUAUCUUCUCUCUUCCCAAUGUUCUAAUCUCUGAACCGUUGUCUAUCUCUUCUUCGUCCAAACAUCAAUUAAUUUAAAAUCUAUAAAUCGUCAUCUAACUCCCUGUGUAUAUUCACAUCUUACACUACUCACCAAAAAUGAUCCUGAACCGAUCUUACCUAGGAUCGUAAAUCCCAAGUUUGUCUAUGAAAUAUUAUUUUUACUCUGGUUCCAUCAACACCAUAAUCCUAACCUCAUCAUCUCUCACAAAUAUCACCACUUUCAUUCUGAAUCACCAAAUCACGAUCCACCUUCAAUUUCCAAUUUUAAUAGCAAUUCUGCGUUGUGGUCUUGUUUCAACCUGGUGGGGUGACUUCUCGGCCUUGACGAAUUUGUCAACAUCACUCAGAUGGUGGUUGAAUAAGAGACACAAAGAUGAGAUUAAAAGGAGUUCGUUUGAGGAUUAAAGCCGAAAAUGGAGUUGGCAGACAAAAAUGGAGUUGGUAGCAAAUGAAAGAUUUAGAAAUGAGAUCCGUGGAGAAAGAUUUUUUUGUUUAUUGAUUAAUCUUGGGGUAUUUCGGGUUUAUGAAAAGGCCCAGACUAAUCUUUAAGAGUAGGAGAAUCCCAUGGAUAGACAUUUUUUCCGGAUAUGCAAAUGAGCCCGAAAACAUGGCCGCGUAGGUGUCUAGGAGCAAUGAGACUUAGUUUCACACAGCUGGUGGAUCAUACCUGAAACGUGUUAGCGUCUUCAAAACGUUCUCUUUUCAUUCGACCACAUUGUCCCAGACUUGGUGGAGAAGGAGUUGACGAGUUUCUAUCGACAUUGACGAAGAAUGAAAAAAUAUCAUCGUCACAAUGAAGGUUUGGUGGAAAUGAAAACAAUAGGCAUGAGGGAGAUGUGAGGGCUGAAUUUCUGUGACUGAAAUAAAAACUAAGCAAUUUGCUGUAAUA